GCUUGUCUCAAUAGAUGUUGUCCAUUUUUAUGCUGUAGCUUACAAAAUGAUUGGAUUAUCAUAUUUUGAUGGAUGAACUGAUUGCUACUUCCGUUGUGGCCAUAAAUAAGACAAGUUGAUGGAGAAGGAAACGAAGAUGUACGAGUUAUAGAUGAAAAGAAAUGUGGUGUUAAUGGCUAUAAAGACUCCAUUGUUCGUAUAGGAUAGGUUUGAAAUUCAUAUUUUGACUAUGUUUGAUUCUUUCUAAUCUUGUAUACACUAGAAUCUUUAAUGAAAAUUCAGGAUACUGUUUGUUGAA